AGCCUCGCAGCUCACCGCCAGGGUGGGGGCGUACCAAAGGGACACCCAAGGAAGGAGCCACCAGAAAGGAAAACCUCCGUGGGAGGGGUGGAAACGGGAGCGAGGCCAGGGAGCAAGUGCGAGAAACGUCGCAGAACCCGUAGGCUCCCUCCAGAGAGACUGGCGAGAACUGCCCCAGAAGCUUGUCGCGGGCAUUUUUGGGCUGUGCGUCCCCUACCCGCGCCAAUAGCACAGACCAGCCGCGCCCGGGUUCCCGGUGAGGACUCGGCAUCCGCUCAGAGUUGCAGGGCUGCCACUUGAGGACUCUGUCCACUGGGGCUGGGAGUGGUGUUUUGGACUCCGCUCUUCUGUGCACCCCGAUCUGCACCUUUCUCGUGGACCCUGACUUUUAGUGACUCCUUAAUGUAUAGGAUGCUGGAGCUGAAGAGUUGCUCAGUAGAGAGCAUCUCAGUUCACUUCUGCCCAAGUUUUGGAGGUGAGAACAUCUGACUGGAGGUAGCAUGACACAUGGAGCCAGGAACUUUGGGUUCAAAUCCUGACUGUCCGUACCCUCGCAUAAGCCAUAGCCGCGCUCUCAGGGGACUAAGCUUACCCCUCUACUAAAGAGGAUCAUCCUAUCUAUCUCACCGGUUGGAUCAGAAGCUUAAAGGGUAAAAUGUGGGAAAACAUGGGCCCAGUGCCCACUAAGCACACAGGACAGAUGCUACUUGAAACGGAAUCUAUUUAAUUCGACUGUGGCUUCCUUAAGGCAGAGGCCAUGUCGUUUGUAUCAACAGCCACAAAAGUUUGUGGCACAAAACCUUCGCAUAUACAAAUGAUUUUUUUUUUUUUUGAGACGGGGUCUCAGUCUGUCGCCAGGCUGGAGUGUAGUGGCGCGAUCUCGACUCACUGCAACCUCCGCCUCCCGGAUUCAAGCUAUUCUUCUGCCUCAGCCUUCCGAGUAGCUGGGACUACAGGCGCACGCCACCACGCCCAGCUAAUUUUUGUAUUUUUAGUAGAGACGAGGUUUCACCAUGUUGGCCGGGAUGGUCUUGAUCUCUUGACUUCGUGGUCUGCCCGCAUCGGCCCCCCAAAGUGCUGGGAUUACAAGCGUGAACCACCACACCCGGCCGAUUUUUUUUUUUUUUUUUUUUUUUUUUUGACAGAGCCUUGCUCUGUCAUCGCCCAGGCUGGAGUUCAGUGGCACAAUCAAAGCUCGCUGCAGUCUGGACGUCUUGGGCUCAAGAGAUCCUCCCGCCUUAGCCUCCUGGGUAGUUGAGACAGCCGGUAGUCACACGCCACCCACCAUGCCCAGCUAACUUUUGCAUUGUGUGUAGAGACGGGGUUUUGCCAUUUGCCAUGUUGCCCAGGCAUGUCUCGAACUCCUGACCUCAAGCAGUCCUCUCGCCUCGGCCU
rnacentral:lncRNA from 1 species